GGGGGGAACUGUAGUGUUUUGUCCCAUUUCAGUGCAGGCAGCUGAAAAUUGUAAAUCACAUGUAACAAAUACUUACCCCUGGCCAACAGCUUUAAAAAGAAAUUUUCAGCAGCAAACUGAAGCCCUAAUUCAAGUCAGCAGCUUGGGUUAUGUUUGGUUUUUUACUGUAAGUUUAGCUAGUUUGUGACUCAAAUCUCAGGUUUUACUAUACUGAAAAGUGCAGAAGAUUUUGUCAUUGUUUUGUUUUGUUUUGUGGCUAGGAUGUGACUUUAAUUUCCUACAGCAGACUGCUGAAAAUAGCACUGAAAGCUACAGCCUUAAUUAACUUGAUCCUAAAAAGUGCAAACGGCAGAGAGGCAGCACCAGGAGUAACUGAACCCAGAGGCUGUGUUCAUGCUGGGUGUAUGAGAUGCUGGAGGAAGGGGUAGUCCAGGCAAGGUGUAGGUUGACACCACACUGGAAAGCAUGUCAGGUCUUGGUUAUUCAUUAAACAUACUGCCACUUGUUUCUGUUUAUGUAUCAAGUGAAAGCAAUUACAUUACAACCAUUUGCAGCAUAUACACUCACUCCAGUGUGUGUAUACAUACCUAUGUAAACAGUUUAGCAGUGCUCCUCUCAGCCAGAUUUCAGUAAAAGCCCAUGUCUUUGAUUUAAAUCAGUUAAUGGGGGGCUAACACAAAUCAAUCCCUAGAGGCAGAAACAGAACCUUCCUGUCCUUUGUGCUCCUUCGCACACAUGUGUUCUCCCCUUCUCUCUGUACAGAUACAUAUGUUUGGGUUUUGUUUGGUUAAUCGCCUCCUGAGGAACUGAAAUCUGGUCUUGUGGCUCCUCCUGAUUUCCAGUAGGCUACAGUCCCUGAAUGAAUCAAAGCUGUAGGCUCAGUAUACUUCCUGUAGGAGGAAGCCUUAACCCCAUGUCCUGCCCAGGAUGGUGCCCUGUCUCCUGUCUGAACUCGUGUCCUGUACCUGAACAAUGCUGGAAAUGGUUUGUAGAAGUUUGGAAAGCGAAGUGGAGGAUGCGAGGGGGGAGAUGUGUACAUGUUCAAUAUGAAUAUAAUGUUCUUUGGUGUAUGGCAAGCUGUUUAAAUGGUUCAGAGCGAUGUGAGUUUCUCGUUGUGUCAUGAGCAUUACCUGUAUGUUAUGAUGAAAUAAAAUCAGAAAUGGUACCUGUUCAUACA
rnacentral:lncRNA from 1 species